rnacentral:rRNA from 1 species
AGCGAACGCUGGCGGCAGGCCUAACACAUGCAAGUCGAACGAACCCUUCGGGGUUAGUGGCGGACGGGUGAGUAACACGUGGGAACGUGCCUUUAGGUUCGGAAUAACUCAGGGAAACUUGUGCUAAUACCGAAUGUGCCCAUCGGGGGAAAGAUUUAUCGCCUUUAGAGCGGCCCGCGUCUGAUUAGAUAGUUGGCGGGGUAAUGGCUCACCAAGGCUACGAUCAGUAGCUGGUCUGAGAGGAUGACCAGCCACAUUGGGACUGAGACACGGCCCAAACUCCUACGGGAGGCAGCAGUGGGGAAUCUUGCGCAAUGGGCGAAAGCCUGACGCAGCCAUGCCGCGUGGAUGAUGAAGGUCUUAGGAUUGUAAAAUCCUUUCACCGGUGAAGAUAAUGACUGUAGCCGGAGAAGAAGCCCCGGCUAACUUCGUGCCAGCCGCCGCCGUAAAAC